rnacentral:rRNA from 1 species
CAAUAGCGUAUACUAAAGUUGUUGCAGUUAAAAAGCUCGUAGUCGAAUAUAGGUUGUUUGGAUGCGCGAGCACUCUUGUUUAACUUGAGAUGCUUGCGCCCAUUAGCCGCCCUUGUGGGGCUCGAUGUUCUUGAUUAUCAAGAAUACUCAAUCGAUCCCACACAUUACUGUGAACAAAAUAGAGUGUUCAUGGCAGGCCAUUAGGGCUUGAAUACCGCAGCAUGGAAUAAUAGAAUAGGACUUCCGGUUCUAUUUUAUUGGUUUUUGGAGCCGAAGUAAUGAUUAAUAGGGAUAGUUGGGGGCACUCGUACUCCGUUGUCAGGGGUGAAAUUCUUGGAUUGACGGAAGACGAACAACUGCGAAAGCAUCUGCCAAGGAUGUUUUCAUUGA